CAACACACAAGUUUUAUCAAAUAAACCAACAUUGGUAAACCCGUGAACCGUCGUGUUGCAAGUAUAAGUAUCCAGCUCACAACCAGUUUUAAGCAUACUCGAGUAAACUUGCAUUGUCAUUUUCAUCUUCUUAUCCUUGCAGUAUCCAUUAAUUAGAGAAGUGUACAUCACUUUAUCUACAAAGAAACCUUGUGACUACAUUUCUCUAAACAAAGUCUCUGCCUCAACAAUCCACCUUCUUUUACAAAGAAUAUAAAACAAAAACUUAUGCAUAUGACGUGUUGGUGAAGAUCUAGUUCUUUCACACAUUAUAUCAAACAAUUGCAUUAUUUCAUCUAAUUAUCCUUUAUGACAUAAACUAUCAAAUAACAAAUUAUAACACCAAAAACAUAGAAUAACACAAGUUUCACUGAGUCUAAUAAGACACUUAAACGCCUCUAAAAGUUUUUCUUGUGCAUAAAGUUCUCUGAGAACAUAAUUACAAGCAAUUUUAUUAGGAGGAUAACUCAUCAUAACAAGCCUAUCAAAAUGGGCUCUAGUCUCCUCGAACUUUCCUAAUUUACAUAAACAAAUAAUCAUAGAAUUUAAAAUUAAUGGGUUAGGAUUGAUACAUUUACUAACAAUGUAACUACUGUAAAAUGAUUCAAUCCAUUGGGGUUGUCAUGUCUCCACCAAUUUUUUUUAUGACUGUGUCAUAGCAAUCUAAAAAUUAAGACCCACAUCACAAUGAGUGACAAGAUCAACAGCUAAUAUUACAUUGGAACUGGAAUAAGAACGUAAAAUGAUUUGCUGAAUUAUUUGUUUAGCUAAAGAUAUUAGGUCAUGUUGUAUAAGUUAGUCUAUUAGGGAGAUGCAAUGGGAAUCAUGGUCAUUGGUGAUAUAUGAUCUAAUGAUAUUUGGUAGUUGAUCAAGAAACAGACUACAGGAGGUCACUGCUACUCUGCUCUUCAAGAAUUGGAUUCAAGAAUUUAGCUUCGAAGAAUAAUCAAAGAACUAAACUUCAGGAACUUGCCGCUCUGGCGUAGCUAAGAGCUAAGAAGAAGAAAAGCGGGAACAGAUGAGAGACUGAACUAAACUUAGGUGCUGAAAUUAUGGCGGGGCUAUAAAUCUAUUAAAGUGCGCAUCUUCUUUUCUAGGGUUUAAGUGGAGCAGGGCUUUAGGCAAGGAGCACAGUAAGAAAAUCUACACUUACACGUUUAUCAUGCUGAAAGGUUAAAUUUUUAGGCAUCCAGCCACUGGAUGGUGACAAGAAGCGGCUUCUGGCGGUGACAUUUUUUUGCAACAUGAAAAAGAAAAUGAACUAGGGAGACUGCUCGGCUAGCGUGGUAGCUUGGCUUAUGGUUGAUGGUCUCGUAUCUAACACCUGCAGGGGAUAGUCAACCAAGCUAAUAAUCUUGCUCAAGAAUUUCCAAAUAACUUGACCAAUUCAUCAAGGACAAGGAGUAGAACAACGAGAAUUGUUGACACAAUUUUAGAACAUGUUGGAUGAAGAUGACCCUAAGGCAUUGACAACCAAGGCCAUGGUGACUGCCCAACUAUCUGGAUUCCAGAGAUGGAUAUGAAAAGAGGGAAGAGAAUCCUGGUGACAGGGUUUUCCAUGGCUAAAACCAUGAAAGUCAUGAGCAGUAGCUCUUCAAUGUUCCUUAACAAUUACAAGCAACAUUAGCAUCAUACUCCAUGGAAGUGGACUUCUCUGCGCAUCAAAAGUCAAGGGUAUCCAUCAAUCUAACUAUGGCUUCCUCUCACCAAAAGAAUCAACAUUUAUAGCUUUUGGCACAAUAAUGGUGAGUACGGUUGUCAUGCAGCCACUAGAGCAAGAUUAUAAGCUACGGACGAAAACAAGGAAAACUAAUGAUCUUUCAGCUAUAUCUCCUACUCUGUAUCAUAGAGGAUGGAAAUUCUCUACUAUUUUACUCUUUACAAUUUGGUGGGCACCGAGCUUCUAUGUAACAGAUAGUAAGCUGAUAAAAACAAAAUUCUGUAAUGGAUUGUAACAUGCACUUUAUCUGGCAAUGUCGAGACCAUGGUGUGCUAGCUUGUGUA